UGGGGGAUAUUGCACAAUGGGCGAAAGCCUGAUGCAGCGACGCCGCGUGGGGGAUGAAGGCUUUCGGGUUGUAAACCUCUUUCGCUAUCGAACAAGGCCCGCUUAGGGUGGGUUGAGGGUAGGUGGAGAAGAAGCGCCGGCUAACUACGUGCCAACAGCCGCGGUAAUACGUAGGGCGCGAGCGUUGUCCGGAAUUAUUGGGCGUAAAGGGCUUGUAGGCGGCUUGUUGCGCCUGCUGUGAAAACGCGGGGCUUAACUUCGCGCGUGCAGUGGGUACGGGCAGGCUUGAGUGUGGUAGGGGUGACUGGAAUUCCAGGUGUAGCGGUGGAAUGCGCAGAUAUCUGGAGGAAAACCGAUGGCGAAGGCAGGUCACUGGGCCAUUACUGACGCUGAGGAGCGAAAGCAUGGGUAGCGAACAGG
rnacentral:rRNA from 1 species